rnacentral:sRNA from 1 species
ACACUUAAAGAAGAAGGUCUAUUUGAAGAGUCAUCAGAUGGAGCUGUUUGUUUCGGCAUGAAGCUUUGCUGCCAAGAUGAAUCUUUGAGAAAGCUUUAAACUUGAACUUUAGAUUUCAUUCAUUUUCUUUAAGGUUUCAUGCGGCUUACAUUUUGGUAUUUAUAUAAGAGACAUUAUAAGCUUCUAAACCCUAGGUAACUCUCCAGAUGUCUUCAUCCUGUAGUCUCUAAGCCAUCAAGGGCUGAGAAUUGAUUAGCAAGCUCUAUCUUCUCCGUUCAAGCUUUCGUCACCUCUGUUCUGUUUCUUUUGUCCUUAAGCGAGAGUGCAGAAGACCGUUGCACAGUGCACGACGACGUUUCUGUUUUGGGCUUAAGUGUUCUGUGGCCCAGUUCAUUUGUUUCUGUCGCAGGCCCAACUGAUGAAGCUGACAAAAUGCUGUCGUUUUAAAGAGGUUGUCUGAUACAAUUUUCGUUAUAAAAAACGUGUGUAAAUGUAGCAUUUGAUGUGUACAAGAAUUGAGUGUGAAACCUUUUUUGCCCUUUCGUAGUUACUUGUGUGUGUCGUUGUUGUUGCUCGUGAGAUUUUUAUAUUUUUCUCUUAUAAUAAUGUUUUUUAAAGGUUAUCAUUUUUUUAAUAUACAGAAAUUAAAAAAUUACCAACUUGCCAUGAGAUUCAUACAUGAUUUU